AGAGCAGCCAGGAACAAGGUGGGGUGAACCAGACAGAGCUGGAGUGCUCUCCCACCCCUGCUUUGCCCAGCCUCCCCGCCAAGCCCAUGAUUCCAAGCAAGGUAAGGCCCUCCUCCCAGAGGAAGGGGCCAACAGCCCGGUGACCUUGGAGUGUGCUUCGCCUGGCACUCCCCUCACACCGCUCCCUACAGCUUGUACUCUGCCUCUGACUCUCUUCCAAGAACAAUUUGGCAAGUUCUAAUCUACAUCUUGCAAAAAAAAAACAAAAAACAAAAAACAGAGAGGUAGGAGGGCCACAGCACCUGGGGUCCCAGAAGGCAGACUGACCUAUUCCUACAGCAGGGAGACAAGGUCUCAUUCUGUUGCCCAGGCUGGAGUGCAGUGGUGCAAUCACGGUUCACUGCAACCUGGAACUCCAGGGUUCAAGCAAUCCUCCUGCCUCAGCCUGCCGAGUAGCUGUGACAACAGGUGCGAGCCACCAUGCCCAGCUAAGAUUUCACCAUGUUGCCCAGCUGGUCUUGAACUCCUGGCCUCAAGCAAUUCUCCUGCUUUAGGCUCCCAAGUUGCUGGAAUUACAGGGCUGCACGGAGCCUGCUGAGUCUCCAACCCACCUCGCUCACCGCUCUGACCACUGACAGGCAGAGCAAAGGAUGCGGGAGUUGCCUCUGCUGCCCAUCUAAGGGGACGUAGGCAGAGAAGCAAAGGCCUCUGCUCUCCCUCCAUCCAUCCCGGUGUGCUGGCCCCAACGGAACAGGAGUCCUUCAACUAUUGCCUGCCAGAGACCCAAUUGCAGGGACUGUAGUCUGCAUCUGGAUGAGCUGGGCUGUAGAUUGAAGUCUCAGAAGCAGGGAAGGUUGGAAGGGGUAGGGUCCCAGAGCCCAUGGAGUUAUUGCUGAGAAGAUAUGCAGGGGACACAUUCCCCAGGGGCAGAGUAGAAGCCCUGGGCCUGGAAUCCCCGGGCGCUCUGUGAAGGGGCGGGGCAGAUGGGGACUCCUCGUGGAAGCCCCUGGGAAGAAAUUAACCACGGAAGGGCAUAGCCUGCCUGACGUCAACGCUGGGCUCACCAGCUCCUUGCUUUGUAUCUCCAGUUGCUAAGAGACCUUCAGACUGGGAUCAGGUGGGAUAAGGAAGCAAGGUUUUUGUUAAAGGAGUGAAAGGAGUCCAUGAAGAAUGAUGACAAAGUGCUGCAAACCUUCCCAGGUCCCAAGACGACUGAAGACCACUGCCCGUGCUCUUACCCUACGCAUCCCUAAAUCAGGGGAGGGGGCUGGUCUCGGGCAACAAGCAGCCUCCUAGGAGCAGAAGGUGAUGGAGGGCCACGGGGGCAGGGAGGAGCAGAUGGCCAUGUGGCUCAGCCCCUGCCUGGGAAAGCGAGUCCACAGUUCACUAACAAACACAAUACCAUCCACAAACAAGUAGCCACAAAGACCACAGUUAGCAAACACACACAGUCACACACACACACACACACACACACAUCACGGGAGGUGGGCAGGACCGCAGGCUGCAGUGGGGAGGCAAGUGUUAGUUGCAUCAUCAGGUGGAGGAAUGGUGUUAGAGGGGAUAGGGUGGGGGACACACAAGUUCUUGGCUUCUCCUGGGGAAAGGGCUGUUGCUGAAGUGGCCGGUUUUCUUAAGCAUCGACAUUUGCAUCCAAAGGUUCAAGCAGCCGCCUCAGGUUCCAGAGGCUGAGGAGGAGGAUAAUUUAAAUUAAAAACACUUCGGCUGCC
rnacentral:lncRNA from 1 species